rnacentral:misc_RNA from 1 species
AGCCAAUUCUAGUUGAUUAUUAGAAUAUAGACAAAGCUUCUUUUCUAAGUUCUCCAUACACUGUAAAAUAUAUGAUCUUUCAUCUUCAAAAUUCAACAAUGAAUUCUUCACAGCACCUGUAUUUUUUUCCCCAGUACACAUAUUUCUUCCUUCAACAUUGUUGCAGAUAUCUGGUUUGUCGGUAACAGAGUUUCCAGGUGUAGUUGAACCUACUUCAACAGAACUAUCUUCUGAAUGCUCCUCUUUGCCAUCUUUCAUCUUCAUAUCAGAAUUUUGUUCCUUGGUAUCCUCCAAUAAUGAUUCACUUGGGAACUUGUUCCUAUAAAAUUCAAGCUCCGCUUCUAGAUCUUGAAGCUCUUUCUCCUUCUCUGUGAGAAGGUCAUUUGUUUUUUGCAGGGAUUCCAUAUCAUACUCAGCUUGCUCUUCCAUCAUUCUUAGGUACUGCAGGGCUUCCAUUUGGAGUGUUGCCUUCUCUUCCUGCAGUCUAGUAAUCAUCGCCAUUGCUUGAUUUGCUGCAAUAGCAGAUGCAUUCCUUUCUUCUUCCAAUUCCUUGUAUAAAGCCUGCAGCAAUUUCUUAUCAUGCUCACCCUGCCGUUUCAACCUAUCAACCACACUUUCACCUUCAAUUUCACUGACAAUACUUCCAUCCAGAGAUAGCCCAGAUUCAUUUCUCUCAAGUGAGAUUCUCUUUUGAAGUAUUUGCAUUCCUAAGGCACUGGAAGCAACAGGAUUCUUCAAUUCAUCACUGUUUACAGACAAUUUUGGACUCAUAGCAACUCUAGGACUACUAUCAUUUAUUGACAACUCUCGAGCAGCAGAUAACUGUGAAAAUAGGAGCUUCAAAUCGUCA